CUUGGUCAUUUAGAGGAAGUAAAAGUCGUAACAAGGUUUCCGUAGGUGAACCUGCGGAAGGAUCAUUAACAAAUCAAUUGUGCUUUUGCACAAAAUAUACCCCGCAGGGUCAAACCUGUGGCUAUAAAUUUCUGCUUGUAUGUGUGACUAUAUCAUGACUAUAUAAUAUAAACAACUUUUAACAACGGAUCUCUAGGCUCUUGCAACGAUGAAGAACGCAGUGAAAUGCGAAAAGUAAUGCGAUUUGCAUGAAUCUGUGAGUCAUCAAGUUUUUGAACGCACCUUGCACUCUUGGCGCAAGUCAAGAGUAUACCUGUUUGAGAAUCAUAUACAUUACUCUGCUCAUUUUGAGUGGGAUCUGGACUCUAUUACUAUUGUCUUUAAUGUAGUAGUAGCGGGCUUUGCUUGGCGCAAAGGCACUGUGUGAUAGAGACAUUUUGUCUACUCACGGUGAGCCUGAGCGAGAUACUUGCAUUGCCUUUGCUGCUGAUAACCACAACUUUUUUUUGUGAUCUCAAAUCAGGUAAGGCUACCCGCUGAACUUAAGCAUAUCAAUAAGCGGAGGA
rnacentral:rRNA from 1 species